ensembl:lncRNA
GUGAUAGACCGGAGCAAUCGAGGGCCGAGAGCCUGGCCGCGUGUGCAAUCGAGUAAAGAAGCGGAGGAAGAACUGCUCCCAAAGGCAGGAAAAAUCGGGCACCGAGUUAUUCAUCUGACCGGGCCCCGCCCACUUUCCAAAAGCCUACUCUGGGACAGCCUGGCAAGACGGAAGAGAUUGCUUCAUUUUACAGUCACCCUAGAAACGCCUCCGUCCUUCUCAGAAAGGAGAGUUGGCAGCGGGUCUGGCUGGCAUUGUGGGAUCUGUACAGGAUCCGCUCUUUGCUCCCGGUCCACGCCGAAGCUGUCAUCGGCUUAGAAUAGCGGUUAAGAAGUGUGGUGUGGAUGGAUGGACGGACCUACCACACGAAAAGCUCAGAAGCCCAAAUGUCUCCAUCCUUAACCUUAACUUGACUUUUAUAUGCACCCAUUGCUCCUCUGCACAGAGUGGUGUACAAGGACUCUGUAAGAGUAUUUUUCUUAAGCAGGUGGAAUUGUUCUGACAUUUGUGAAACAAAAGAGCUUUGAACACUAAUUUCUCAGGGUUGAUCUACAUAGUUAUUGAUGUUGGAACACAUAACCCCAAGAAUCAAACCCAAGAUCCAAGACAAUCAAAAAUUGGGAAACUAUGGAGGAGAUAAAUAAGUUCCAUAGUUAAGAGUCUAAAACGCUGACAGCAGUCUGAGAUUUCCAAAAUAAACAGGUUAUUGUUUAAAUGAACAUAACUUGCCAAGCAAGAUGACCAACACCUGUAAUCCCAGCUCCCUGAGGCUGAGACGGAAAGCCUCAAGUACUUGAGUGGCUGCCAGUCAUUCUACUGCAUUCUUGGUAGAAAGAAGCUGGAUAAAAAAGCUAUGGCAUAAAUCAAGUUUGGAAGCAGAUCAGGAGAAUGAAUAGCGUCAACCAGAGAAAUCUGAAAGACGAACACUAGCCUUAAUGGAGAGUCCUUCAACUCAAGACAAGGAAAAGAGACUAUACUUCUAUGAAAAAAAAUUUUAAGAAGAUGUGUUUGUGCCUAUAUGAUCUCCCACCAUGAUGCGCCACCAUCUAUUGCCCUCAUUGAAAGCCAAAACAGUGUCCUCUCAUCAGUCUCCUCAUCUUGGACUUUGAACCUCUAAAACUCCACACCUUCAACACUGUCCUCCCCUCAGUUCAUGUGUUCAUCUCUCUUAUCUAAUCCAAAAGCUUGACUAAUGAAGUGCACUGAUGUCUGAAACUUUCUUUGAAAUGAAUCAAAUAAAAAACUAGGUGGAUGAAUGGGUG